rnacentral:rRNA from 1 species
GAUGAACGCUGGCGGCGUGCUUAAUACAUGCAAGUCGAGCGGAAGGACGCGAAGCUUGUUUCUUUGUUGUUAGCGGAGGACGGGUGUGUAACACGUGGAUAACCUACCUAUCAGUCUGGGAUAACCACGGGAAACCGUAGCUUAUACCGGAUAAUAUUUUGAACCGCAUGGUUCAAAGGUGAGAGACGGUCUUGCUGUCUCGUCUCGAUGGAUCCGGGCUGCUUUAGCUAGUUGGUAAGGUAACGGCUUACCAAGGCAACUAUGCAUGACCGACCUGAGAGGGUGAUCGGCGACACGGGAGGGGAGACGCGGUCCAGACUCCUACGGGAGGCAGCAGAAGGGAAUCUGCCGCAAUGGGCGAAAGCCUGACGGAGCAGCGCCGCGCGAGUGAUGAAGGUCUUCGGAUCGUAAUACCCUGUUAUUGGUUGUGAACAUAUUUGGAAGGAACUGUGGACAGCUUGACGGUACCUAGUCAAGAAGCCACGGCUAACUACGUG